rnacentral:tRNA from 1 species
CUGAAUAAGCGGGCCUCGAUCCCGCAAAAAUUAGUUAACAGCUAAUUACCCUAACCAGCGGGCUUCUACUCG